rnacentral:lncRNA from 1 species
ACAUAGAAGAAAGUCAUGAUUCUAAAAGGCCAACUUUUAAUUUUACAUUUUCCUUUGCAGUAUAGAACCUACACAAGAAAUAAGAUGAAAACAACCGCUGCUCAUUCCACCGUACCAGCUUUUCAUUAUCUGCAUCUGCAGCUGAAGAGAGUGCACCAUGUCUCAAAGAUGUUAAUGUUCGCGUGUCAAAUCUCACAUUCUUGAGAGCUAUAGUGUCCACCCAUGCACCUUUACCUGAAGUCCAGCUACUUCUGCAACAGCCAUGUUCUUCUGGACUCAGUAAUAGCAAUUCAGCAACCCCUCACCUCAGCCCUCCUGAUUGGUGGAAGAAAGCCCCUGCAGGACCCUCUCUGGAAGAAAGGUAUUGGCUCUUCUGGCAAGGGGCUCCUUUUCAAUGACUCAAGCCUACUUGAUGGAACUUGGAGAGGUGAUUUGCAAGUGCAUGGGGGAAGCAGAUCCAUCCAUUCAGCUUCAUGGAGCAAAGGUAAUUUUCAUCAAAACCACAACGCUUUUUCCUUCUCGUCACUUUAUAUCCCUCCUUUUCUUCACUUUAUAUUCUUCUGCCACAUGUCCUUCAAUUCUGAGAUUUCUUAAAGAGAUUUCAGGUGAGGAAGACUAUACAUUCUUCUGUUUUCAGCUGUUACAUGUAAACCCCAAGAAUUGAUUCGGUAACAAAUGAAUAAGAUAUAGCUGUUGAUUUCAGUCCUUGAAAGAAUGCCUCUGUUAAGAGUGACUGAAAAAAGGAAGAAAAUGAGUUGUAAAUUAUGUUUCCCCUUGACUUGAGGUGAUCUCCAAACUUAAGUGCAGUUGUCUGUUAGUCCUAAUACUCUGCUUUGGUAAUUCUUUUUUCUUGGCAGCUUCUGGAAGAACUGGGCACAGGCUUAAUACAGCAGUAUCAACUGGAUUCUACUGUAGCACCUGAUCAGAGAGUAUCAGUCUUCUUGGUAAAUAAAUGUCAAUUCAUAGUUUUCUUUUAUUGGUGCUUCAGUUGCAGUUUUAUUUUGAAGUUCAGUGGUAAGUGGAAUAGAUGGUAUGGUGUCUUCCAGUGUCAAAAAUUGUGUUUUAUAAUCCAGGAAAACAUGAAACUAGUAUAAAUGGGUUUUAUUUUACAUUUCAGUUUAUUUGCAAUUUAGUAUGCGGUAGGCUUAUGUAACCAGCAAUAGUAAAACUAAUAUUUCUUUUGCAUAAAACCUAGUCUGGUUAUUCAGCCUGCCCAAGAGACAAAGAGCCAG